AAUAUAUUGGUGUAAAGCACGGAAAAUUUUGGUUUUUCAGGAUUUAGUUUUAUUCUAUAAUAUAUUU
rnacentral:tRNA from 1 species